UGUAAAAAGAACUGCAUUCUCCUGGGAUGGUACUUGGUGUGAUGCUGCAGUAUUUGGAGCAAUAAAUUUGAGUUUGGGUUGCAGCGGCUCCUUCAUCCAGCCCAAGGUGGAACCAAACCGGGCAAGACUCCAGAAAAUCACAGCCCAGAUGAGCUUAUGAGGUGCAUAAACUCCUACGUGCCCACUCUCCAGGUUCUUCUGGCACCAUGCUUUGUUCAGGAGCACCUGGUGUGUCGGUUUUUUGUUUGUUUGGUUGGUUGGUUUUUGUUUGUUUGUUUUUAUUUUGUUCCACUUCUUUUGGCUGCCAUUAAUCUCUAUACAACUGUGAUAUAGGCUCCCAGCAACUUCCUCUAGCAUCUUUUUCCUGAAU
ensembl:lncRNA